CGGGUGGCCCCGUGUGCCGCCCGGCACCGCCCGGCCCGGCCCGGCUCCGCGCCGUGUGCUCGGCCCGGGAGCGCCGCCGCGUCCUGCCCGGCCGGCGGGGCUGGGCGUGCUGGUGCAGAGAUGAGACAGGCGUGUGGAGCCCUGGAGCCGGUGGAGGAAGGCAGCGGGCGCAGAGAGUCACCCAGCCCGUGUGGCGUUGUUAGUGAGGACGCGAUGUCUCCGGGGAGAAAGGCGAGAGCGCUCGGUCACGCGGUGUGACCGUCGUCGGGAAACGGCGUUUUCCAGCGGGAAUGGGAAAGUUUGGUGGACAAGCUGGGCACCAGAAACCAGAAGUUCUUCUUACCAGGCUUGCUGGAGCGGAGCGGACUGUUGCCUGAAAGCCGUGGUGCACUUGGUCCCUGCUGCUGUCCAUCAUCUCCCCGCUGUCCCGCCCUUCCUCCGGAGCAGGACAGCAGACCGACGGUGCUGAAAGGGACAGCUCUGAGGCACGUCUGAGCCAGCGCGGCCGGGGGCAGAGGGGUUUCACACACACGCUCACACGCAGGGACAGACAGACACACGGACUCGCACUUCGUGCUGCAGAGGUUUGGAGGUGGCAGCGCAAACAGCUGCAGAGAGCUGAGCUCAGCCAGUGGCUGCACGAUCCCUAUUUGGAUGAACUCAUUUCCAGGGUUUGUUUGUCCCUGCUUUCCACGCGGGAGAUCUCAUCACCACAUUACCUUUACUUCCCAAAUACCUGGUGUCGUGAGCACCAUCUUCGGGAAGCUUUUUUUUUUCUUUUCCUUUGUUCCUAGUGGUGAACACCCUUUCGUGGGUAAAUCACCUUCUGGUGGGGUGUUUUUGUUUUUGUUGUUUUGUUUUGUUUUUUCUCUUGUUAUUAAUACUGCUGCUGUUAUUAUGGUUUUAGUAUUUUUUUUAUUUCAACUCAUUUUAACUCAUAAUUUUUCAUUUAUUGUCCCUUCCUUACCAAAAUGGACUGGGGAAGGGAGUGGUUAUUUGGAAUUUAAUUGCCCUGCCGGGAUUAAAAUCAGCACAGACUGUAGAACUUCAUAGGCUAGGACACCCUUCUGAAAGUUGGAAAACUCUGAAUCCCCUCAGUUCUCAGGAAAACAAAAUUAUAUAGAGUAAUUAUUUAAAUGGUUAAUUCCCAGCCAUAUUUGUUCCACUGAGCUGGCACAUGAGCAAGAUUUUGGACUAGCAGAUGAAGAUUCUUGCUUAGGAUGGCAUAACUAAUAAAAUGUAGGUUUACUACACGAGCUUGAUUUCCCUGCCACACAGUAGAAAUUAAAUAGCUGAAUUUAAAACUUUCCUAGCUUUUUGUUUCAUUUUAAGGAUUUCUCAGUUAUAUGGGGGGCGGGGAGCAGGAGGAAAAUGAAAAUCACUAGGAAACAAUACAUCUAAACAAAUCACUUCUGUCUAGCUGUUGAACCAAAGAAGAAAGAGAAAAUACUGUCUAGUCUAAGAGGACACUCUAAAUCAUGUUUCAUAUUUUUUCAGACAGUGCCUAUGACACUGGCAAUAUGAAAAAAUAGAUAGAGAUGAAGUUAUGCAGAGUGAUGUUGCCAACUACACAUUGGAGAUGAGUCAGAUUAUUUACAUGUGACUGUAGAAGAGUAGUGUAGAAUGUGCCUUAUAGCUUCCCUUAUGCUAAUCUGUAUAAAAAAAUGUUGGGAAAAUGUCUUAAAGUGCAAUAUAAAAGAAAAAUUUAAAAUUUUGGUCUUGUAAGUAAAGUUAGAGAUGCCAAUAAAAAAAUUACAAAAAUUCCUUGCCUUCUAAAUAAACGAAGGUAACUUCGUUGGUAUGGGGUACCAGAGUUGAUUUCAACCUUGGCAUUUGUAUUCUCAAGGGGGAAUUAUUUCUUGGUGAAUAGGCUAUUGUUAUUCUCUCAAAAAGAUUAGAUUAUUGACCACAGUUUGACCCAGAUUUAGCUAAACAAUACUUGCUUUAGGCUGAGAUGUCAAUGAGGAGAAAAAAUUAUGUGAAAAAAAAAGCAAACACUAAAAUGAAUACGCACCUUAAAUAACCUUUAAAAGUUCAUUUUUCAUUGUGAGUGCAUCUUUGAAGCUGUAUGGCAUUGGUUUAAUUUAGAUCACAUGUGAAAAAUUUUACAAUAUCAUUCUUGAUGCCGAAACAGAUGAAGAAAUCUGGACAGUAUCCUAAUCUAGUGAAUUAGGAAGGAUCUGAAGAUCACAAUGCUUUGAAACCUUUUGUUUGCCACUGCCUUUCAGGUUAGCUUGAAUUAUCUCUCUUAAAUGGCUUCAGUAUUCAUAGCUGUAAGACAGACAUUUUUAAAGUAAUUCACAAGUUUAUCAAAAGCAAAGUUAAAUUUCCUGGGAGAGAAAUUUAUAGCUGAAAACCAUAAAAGUGACUUUUUCUCCAGUUUUGUCCUGCACUGAGACUGUGAGUAACAAGACACUUUAAUUCUGAUAAAAAAGCAUGAAUAUAGUCCCAAAUUUGUUACCUUGUCUCUUAUUAGCCAAACGUUUGGGGGUUUUGUAUUCUUCAGUUCUCCUAGAAAAAAAACUUUAUGAAGGGACCAAUCUUUUUGUUCUUUCAGGUACAGAGAACCCUCAGUGUUAGGAAAAGUCAGAAUUUUAUGGAUUGAGCCCUUUACUCCUGAGAGUUAACACUUGCCAUCUUCACAAAAAUUCAUCUUAUUUGGUGAAGUUAUGAAUCUUUCCAAAGCCAAAGUUAUCACCUGGCUAAGUAAAUAUUUGCAAGCAUUUAGUAAAUAAAAUCUCCAAAACAUGCCUCCCUUAGGAUGUGGCUUAAUAAUUCUUUGUUACACUUCACAUCUGCUACAUCCAAGAGAGGUAUUCCAUUGAUCCCCUUUUUUAAUUAAGGAAACCUAUGCUAUUCCACACUGAUUUUAGGAUCUAGAGUGAUAUUACAAACUGUAUGGAAGUCUUCUUGUCAAAGAGUAGGCAGCUGACUUAUUUAAAACUUUAAUUCCUGAUUGAGGCAAAAAUCUUUAAAUUAAAUUAAUUUUAAAAUUAUGGCACUUAUUGUUACAAGUAAAUAAUUCUGGGAUGAAUGCUAUUUCAUGCAUUCCACUCUCUAAAAAUUAAUACAAUAAUGACUCUUUCACCUUCUGUGGAAGGUGAUUUAGAUCUCUUAGAUGUGGUGUGUGGUGAGCUGCUGGGCACACCCUGCUCCCUCGCUGAAGCUGCGUGGCACCAUGGGAUAACCAGCAUGCCUGUCUCAGGAGCAGUGUUGAGGAGAAGAAAGCUGUACUAAAGGCACAACAAAUGAAAUUAAGACCUGUUUACACAAUCCAACACUGCAAAAUUAAUGAAAACCACUAAAUUCAGGAUUGUCACUAAUCAAAACAUGCUUUGACUUUCAUUUUUGAGAGACAAAGGUAAAAGAAAUAGUUAAGAAAGCAGAAGAUAAUGGGAUAGAUGUCAAACAGCUAAGAAACCUACAAAGACUAGAUGAGGGAUGAUAAGCAAAAAAAAGACUCAUAGUCCAGGAAUAUAAACCAGGAGCUUGAAUUAGGUAGUACAUUUCUUUCUCAUAGCAGCUCUUGUUAGAGUCUGACAAAUUUGUUAUUUGUGUCAUAUAAGCCACAACUAAAGUAUAGAACAGUUAUAUAAUUUCUUUGUUUGUAUGUAACUCAGCUGCAAAGAAGAGUGGGUAAGAAAGAGCACUAGAUAUGGGCUUAUGUGAUGAUUCUCCUGAUACCAUAUAGCAUCAAGUAUGCUUAGGUGAUGAAAAGCUGAUGUAAUUAGACAGCCUAAUAAUCCUGCUAUUAUGAAUUUUAGAAGUCCCUUCUUUUUGUUAUAUUCCAUGGACCAUUUUUAAUACCAUAGUAUCCAACUGCAAUGCAUGUGACUUUUCUCCAACUUAAAAAAACCAAUAAGGGUCUUUACCUAGUGACUCAGCACAAAACACUUUUGCACAAGUGGUGGAUUUUUCACAGCUGUUAGUCCAUUUUAUGAAACAUGGAUCCAUUGAAACUGUUCUACAGCCUUGAAUAAGGCAUCUAAGUUAAUGCUCCAGUAAUUAUAUUGUGUAAUAUUAGAGAGUUGAUUUCAUAAUGCCUUAAUUAAGGAAUCAAGUUAUCAGAAUGUACUUUCAGGGACUAGACACUUUAAUUAUUGUGCCAAAUUUGGUAAAAAGCUGUCAAUUGUUUGUGAAAUGAAAGUAGAAAAUGUUUUCAAGAAGUGCUUUGCUUUUCUCCUCCUCUCUGAAGACACCUGUUGCAUAACAGAGAACACAAUUUUAGUAAGCCUGAAGGUUCUUUUCUCUUUUUGGUUCAUGUCCCUGUCUUCGAUUAGUUUUACAUAACAAAUGAAAAGUUGCAAGCACUUCUCUGAGACCUAGAGGUUGUAUUUUAACAGCUUGUUUCUUGUGGUGAGUUGAUCUGGCUUGUAAAGUGUGACUUCCCUAAAUCUAAUUUAGUUGUGAAAAGUCUUUUCUCCUGUAUGACCUACGUUCCCUGUAGUCUGCUUCCACAGUUAGGCCUCAUACUCUGCUUUCCCCAUUCAUCUAUCAACUUUAGCCAUCAUCACUUUCAAGUGCUAUCUAUCAAGUGAGAUUGAAACUAUCAAUAGAUUUUAAAAUUAUUGUGGCUGGGAAGACACACACAAUUCAAAUGCCAGCUAAACUCAAAGAAAGCCACUUUUUCUAAAAUGUGUGCAAAUAAAUGAAAACUAUGUAAAUUGAAAAA